rnacentral:rRNA from 1 species
GGCGAACGGGUGAGUAACACGUGGGUAAUCUGCCCUGCACUCUGGGAUAAGCCUUGGAAACGAGGUCUAAUACCGGAUAUCACAACUUCUCGCAUGGGGGGUUGUUGAAAGUUCUGGCGGUGCAGGAUGAACCCGCGGCCUAUCAGCUUGUUGGUGGGGUAAUGGCCUACCAAGGCGACGACGGGUAGCCGGCCUGAGAGGGUGACCGGCCACACUGGGACUGAGACACGGCCCGAGACUCCUACGGGAGGCAGCAGUGGGGAAGAUUGCACAAUGGGCGCAAGCCUGAUGCAGCGACGCCGCGUGAGGGAUGACGGCCUUCGGGUUGUAAACCUCUUUCGCCAGGGACGAAGCGCAAGUGACGGUACCUGGAUAAGAAGCACCGGCUAACUACGUGCCAGCAGCCGCGG